CAUGCACACAAGCAUACAUACGUUUCUAAGAACUCGUAGGAGAUACAAAGCACAAUCAUAUUGUGUUAGUGUAAAUACUCUAACACAUACAUAGAUAAAGUGUCUGUUGGAUAUCCCCAAGCAAUCCCAACGAGGGAGAAUAUACAUAUAUGGCCAAAAAUCUUGGUUAAAAUGUUAGCAUCCGCCACGAUCAGAUGAUGCACUUCUGCGCUGGGAUACCCAUGUCAUGCAGGUUAACACGCAAAGUGUAACAGCGAUAAUGUUUGAGAUAAUUGUGGUAAAAUUUAACAGAUGCGUCUGACCCAGCAACAGAAAUUCCACAUUGGCCUCAAGCUUAGGUCAUUAUGCCCCUUAAUGCCUACGUUGUUUA